GUGGUGAUAAAGGUCGUGUCUGAUCUUGUUUCAUUUUUUGAAUGACUCGUGCACUAGCACGCGUCCCUGGACAAUUAUGCAUUAUUACAGAACCCAGUAGCUCAGUCACCUUUGAAUCCGUCUGCAAAUCAAUCAUUAAAUGCGAAUUCGAUUUGGCACAGUGGAAUCGCAUAGCUUUAGCGCUGCUUAUUGUAGCUGGUGCUACUCGUUCAUUGAUUCUAAUUUGCGAUUCACUGUGCUCCAGUGGCUCCACCGUCUCACCAAUGUUUUCUUGUGCGGGCGGUACAGUUGUCGUCGUAAUCGGAAGCGCCGUCUGAUUUCCAACGCCGCCCAGCGCAUUUGCGCUCAUUUUUGAUGAAACCUAUAAUAAGCAGAAUAAGAAAUUCAGCAAAUUUUCCCGCACCUAAGGAACUUAAAGCAUAGUUGAUCGAUUUAUGGAAAAAUUGUAGAAGAAGUUCAUAGGAAUUUUUCACGCCCGACAAAGAAAAUUUAAUUGCGCCCUUACUACUUCGUCACCAGGCUAAAAUUCAAAGUAGUUCAACUCCGCUUAAAGGAAUUUUUAACAUCGAUUCACUGCAAAAUCGCGCGAUGAAAUUCCAGUAAAAUCUGUUGCGAAAACACGAAGUUGACAACUGACAAAAAAUGGCGCACGACUUUCGAUUCGUUGAUAGUCCCCAUAUUCAGUCUUUUUAUUUAUUUUCUGGCAAUAUUUUUGCAAAACUUUGUUCCAAAUAAUAUGCAGCAUAAAUUUACCUAUUCAACCGCCCAA